UACGGAGGGAGCUAGCGUUUUUCGGAAUUACUGGGCGUAAAGAGCGUGUAGGCGGCUAAUUAAGUUGGAAGUGAAAGCCCGGGGCUUAACCCUGGAACUGCUUCCAAAACUGAUUAGCUAGAGAUUGGUAGAGGAUGGUGGAAUUCCUAGUGUAGAGGUGAAAUUCUUAGAUAUUAGGAGGAACAUCAAUGGCGAAGGCAACCAUCUGGACCAUUUCUGACGCUGAGACGCGAAAGCGUGGGGAGCAAACAGG
rnacentral:misc_RNA from 1 species